AACGAACGCUGGCGGCAGGCUUAACACAUGCAAGUCGAACGCCCCGCAAGGGGAGUGGCAGACGGGUGAGUAACGCGUGGGAAUCUACCCAUCUCUGCGGAAUAGCUCUGGGAAACUGGAAUUAACACCGCAUACGCCCUACGGGGGAAAGAUUUAUCGGGGAUGGAUGAGCCCGCGUUGGAUUAGCUAGUUGGUGGGGUAAAGGCCUACCAAGGCGACGAUCCAUAGCUGGUCUGAGAGGAUGAUCAGCCACAUUGGGACUGAGACACGGCCCAAACUCCUACGGGAGGCAGCAGUGGGUAAUAUUGGACAAUGGGCGCAAGCCUGAUCCAGCCAUGCCGCGUGAGUGAUGAAGGCCUCAGGGUUGUAAAGCUCUUUCACCGAUGAAGAUAAUGACGGUAGUCGGAGAAGAAGCCCCGGCUAACUUCGUGCCAGCCGCCGCUGUAA
rnacentral:rRNA from 1 species